UACGUAGGGCGCAAGCGUUGUCCGGAAUUAUUGGGCGUAAAGAGCUCGUAGGCGGCUUGUCACGUCGGGUGUGAAAGCCCGGGGCUUAACCCCGGGUCUGCAUUCGAUACGGGCAGGCUAGAGUGUGGUAGGGGAGAUCGGAAUUCCUGGUGUAGCGGUGAAAUGCGCAGAUAUCAGGAGGAACACCGGUGGCGAAGGCGGCUUCUGGCCCGGUACUGACGCUGAGGUGCGAAAGCGUGGGGAGCAAACAGG
rnacentral:rRNA from 1 species